rnacentral:rRNA from 1 species
UAAGUCUCAGUUCGGAUCGCAGGCUGCAACCCGCCUGCGUGAAGCCGGAAUUGCUAGUAAUCGCGGAUCAGCAUGCCGCGGUGAAUACGUUCCCGGGCCUUGUACACACCGCCCGUCACACCAUGAGAGCCGGGGGGACCCGAAGUCCGUAGCCUAACCGCAAGGAGGGCGCGGCCGAAGGUAAAACUGGUGAUUGGGGUGAAGUCGUAACAAGGUAUC